CGUCACACCACAAUGUGCAGCAUCACCUCCCUGGUAGGGGAAUAACGUAAAGAAACAGUCUAUGGACUCCUCAGCUAGGGAAGCAAAGUAGCUAGAACUGUUCUGUGUAUCCUCCAGCUUCAUUCCGAGUUGUCCUUCGGGUGAAUUCCCAGAAACUCAUUUAUCCUGGAAAGUCUUAAGAUGAAAGAAUAUCACAGGAUAUUAAUCACAAUGUGGUACCAGAGGAAUUUGAAAAUUGUCCUAAAUGUGGAGGAAAACAAUUACAGCAAUUGGACUGGUGAUGUACUUCCGAAAUUUGUUCUGUGACCAGCGGGCAAUUGAAGCACACGAGGAAUUGUACCGACUUUCACAGGUCUACAGAACCAUAUAAAAGUGCUCACAACCCCACGCUCCUCACACCGCUCUUCUCCAUUUACUCUGCUCAGUGAACCUGGUUUGCCUGUGUCCGUCCACCGUACCAAGAUGUCUUGCUGCUACGGGUACCCCUGCUACAGCGUGUGCUACUUACCCUGUUACAGGACCAUGCGCCGCUCCCGCACCUACAGCUGCUGCAACCCCUGCAACUACCAGAUCCUGUACAGAUACCAGCGCAGGUAUAACUGUGGAGACUGCUGCAGCUAUGGGACCGCACGCAUGACCCGCUACUACUACCCUUCCUGCUGCACUUACGGCUACAGGUGCUGCUACCCCUGUUGCUGAAUUCAGUGGCAAUAUCCCCACACCAAGAAUCAACCUCGACCCAGCAAGCAAAGACGCGUGGCUAAUCUCAGAGGCAAUGCUUACACAAGUGCGAAGCCCCUGUGGCAGCGACUGAAGUUACUGAGAAUGGGGAGCUUGGCUACUCUCUAAAAUUUCUUGUUCUUUCUGUCUCAUCGUAUUUCUGAACUAUGAGCUCUCUUUUGAUAUUCUCCUGCAUUUAAGCCUCUUUUAAACCCUUCAGCAACGGAAGCAAUGAUCUGCAGUUCAUUCGAAGCUUCUUACAGUUGCUACAGUGGUUUUAAAAGACUUCUGUAAAAUUAACUUUUGUGUCAUCUGCAUUUUCAAUAACUACUUCCAGUAAGGUGCUACAGUGCUGUGUAAUGGAGAAGGAUUAUGGCUGUCUCUCCUUUGAUCUGGAUUUACAAGUACUCAAAGGAUGAACAACACGGCUUCAGUAAAAAGGAAUGUUCUGUAUAA